rnacentral:sRNA from 1 species
UGGAGAGAUAACCUAGUCAUUCAGAGGCCGCCCGCUUCCGAGGUGAUCAGGCAGUGUCAGUCUUCAGCUGCUAAGCCAAGAAGGUCUGGGAAGGAGUCAGUCAGAGAGCCUUGGGCCAGAGUUCCAGGGGCUCUGGGAGUGGCUGCCAGACAACUGUGAGUGGAAUUGCUGAGUCAUGUGGCAAACUACCAGUUCUGUUGAACCUCAGGGCCAUCAUUCUGUUCAUGUUAGCUCACUGUAGAACCACAUCGAUGAAGACUAAGAUGGUAAAGAAGAAAAAUUGUAGCUAACAUUUACUGCACAUUUACUACAAGCCAAGCAUUGCACUAUGAAGUUUAAGUGCAUUAUUCAUUAACCCCUUC